rnacentral:rRNA from 1 species
UACGUAGGGCGCAAGCGUUAUCCGGAAUUAUUGGGCGUAAAGAGCUCGUAGGCGGUUUGUCGCGUCUGCCGUGAAAGUCCGGGGCUCAACUCCGGAUCUGCGGUGGGUACGGGCAGACUGGAGUUCGGUAGGGGAGACUGGAAUUCCUGGUGUAGCGGUGAAAUGCGCAGAUAUCUGGAGGAAUACCGGUGGCGAAGGCGGGUCUCUGGGCCGAUAUUGACGCUGAGGAGCGAAAGCGUGGGGAGCGAACAGG